UCAGUGGCAACUAGGGCGAGUGGUUGAAACUACAGAAGGGUCAGAUGGCUUAGUUCGUCGGGUAAAGGUACAAAUUGGGGAGCGGAAAGUAACACAGAAACAGAACCCCCGAUGUAAGCCCUCAAUCAUUGAAAGGCCCAUCCAAAAGCUGGUGCUCCUCCUUGAAAACAAUUAACGGUCUGUAGUACACUCAAGUACACUUACAUCAGACAUGUUGGUUUAUUGAUUUUAUUCAAGGUGUCCCUAUUUUGUUCUGUAGCUCCAUGCUUAGGCAGUUAUAGAACUCUAGAAAUCAUGUAUGAGUAACUGUUUUGUUUUCCAUGCUGAGUUCAUUUAUCAUAACAUGAUUUGGUGGGAGUGUAAGUGGCCACUGGAGGCCGCUAGAGGUAGUAUAUUCUUAGUGAGGUAAUUCAUGUGACUGGGUUGGAGGCUGUGCACCCAGGAACCUGUAUAACUAAUAAUUCGAUUUGCACUUGCCUGACUUCUCUCAUCUCCGAAGAUCAGGGACAUUUCAGAGACCUUCAAGCUAGCGGCUAAUUCC